AUACGGAGGAUCCAAGCGUUAUCCGGAUUUAUUGGGUUUAAAGGGUGCGUAGGAGGCCUAUUAAGUCAGGGGUGAAAGACGGUAGCUCAACUAUCGCAGUGCCCUUGAUACUGAUGGGCUUGAAUACACUAGAGGUAGGCGGAAUGUGACAAGUAGCGGUGAAAUGCAUAGAUAUGUCACAGAACACCGAUUGCGAAGGCAGCUUACUAUGGUGUUAUUGACGCUGAGGCACGAAAGCGUGGGGAUC
rnacentral:rRNA from 1 species